UGCUGUUAGUGAUGACUUACUUAGUUAAAAAGAUGGGAAUCUCUCUGAAAGAGAAUGAAGAUUAAUUCAAAGCUGAAACAGUA